UUAAGUUAGUAAGGGCGCACGGUGGAUGCCUUGGCACUAGGAGCCGAAGAAGGACGUGACAAACGACGAAAUGCCUUGGGGAGCUGUAAGUAAGCGUAGAUCCAGGGAUGUCCGAAUGGGGGAACCCAAUAGGUAGAUACCUAUUACCCGUAUCUGUUAAGGAUAUGAGGAGGAAGACGCAGUGAACUGAAACAUCUAAGUAGCUGCAGGAAGAGAAAGCAAAAGCGAUUGCCUGAGUAGCGGCGAGCGAAAGGGCAAGAGGGCAAACCGAGAAGUUUACUUCUCGGGGUUGUAGGACUGCGAUGUGGAUUUAAAGAUUAUAGAAGAAGACCUUGGGAAAGGUUGCCAGAGAGAGUAAGAGCCUCGUAUUUUAAAUAAUCUUUAUACCUAGCAGGAUCCUGAGUACGGCGGGACACGAGGAAUCCCGUCGGAAUCUGGGAGGACCAUCUCCCAACCCUAAAUACUCCCUAGUGACCGAUAGUGAACCAGUACCGUGAGGGAAAGGUGAAAAGCACCCCGGGAGGGGAGUGAAAGAGAACCUGAAACCGUGUGCCUACAACAAGUUCGAGCCCGUUAAUGGGUGAGAGCGUGCCUUUUGUAGAAUGAACCGGCGAGUUACGUUAUGAUGCGAGGUUAAGUUGAAGAGACGGAGCCGUAGGGAAACCGAGUCUGAAGAGGGCGGUAUAGUAUCAUGAUGUAGACCCGAAACCAUGUGACCUACCCAUGAGCAGGUUGAAGGUGAGGUAAAACUCACUGGAGGACCGCACCAGGGCACGUUGAAAAGUGCUUGGAUGACUUGUGGGUAGCGGAGAAAUUCCAAACGAACUUGGAGAUAGCUGGUUCUCUCCGAAAUAGCUUUAGGGCUAGCGUCGACAGAAAGAUUCUUGGAGGUAGAGCACUGUUUGGGUGAGGGGUCCAUCCCGGAUUACCAAUCUCAGAUAAACUCCGAAUGCCAAUGAAUUAUGGUCGGCAGUCAGACUGCGAGUGCUAAGAUCCGUAGUCGAAAGGGAAACAGCCCAGACCACCAGCUAAGGUCCCAAAAUAAUUGUUAAGUGGAAAAGGAUGUGGGGUUGCACAGACAACUAGGAUGUUAGCUUAGAAGCAGCUAUUCAUUCAAAGAGUGCGUAAUAGCUCACUAGUCGAGUGACCCUGCGCCGAAAAUGUACCGGGGCUAAAACAAUUUACCGAAGCUGUGGAUCCUUUAGGGGAUGGUAGGAGAGCGUUCUAUGUGUGGUGAAGGUGUACCGUGAGGAGCGCUGGAACGCAUAGAAGUGAGAAUGCCGGUAUGAGUAGCGCAAGACAGGUGAGAAUCCUGUCCACCGUAAGACUAAGGUUUCCAGGGGAAGGCUCGUCCGCCCUGGGUUAGUCGGGACCUAAGGAGAGACCGAAAGGUGUAUCCGAUGGCCAACAGGUAGAGAUUCCUGUACUAGAGUAUAGAGUGAAGGAGGGACGCAGUAGGCUAACUCAAGCGUGCGAAUGGAAGAGCACGUCUAAGCAGUGAGGUGUGAUAGGAGUCAAAUGCUUCUAUCUGUAACAUUGAGCUGUGAUGGGGAGCGAAGUUUAGUAGCGAAGUGAGUGACGUCACACUGCCAAGAAAAGCUUCUAGCGUUAAUUUAUACUCUACCCGUACCGCAAACCGACACAGGUAGUCGAGGCGAGUAGCCUCAGGUGAUCGAGAGAACUCUCGUUAAGGAACUCGGCAAAAUGACCCCGUAACUUCGGGAGAAGGGGUGCUGGCUUAAAGUCAGCCGCAGUGAAUAGGCCCAAGCAACUGUUUAUCAAAAACACAGCUCUCUGCUAAAUCGUAAGAUGAUGUAUAGGGGGUGACGCCUGCCCGGUGCUGGAAGGUUAAGAGGAGUGCUUAGACGUAAGUCGAAGGUAUGAAUUGAAGCCCCAGUAAACGGCGGCCGUAACUAUAACGGUCCUAAGGUAGCGAAAUUCCUUGUCGGGUAAGUUCCGACCCGCACGA
rnacentral:rRNA from 1 species